CCAUACUCUUCAGGCUCCACCUCCAUCUCAGGUGAAGUUCUGACUUGUUCCAGGAAGCUGCUCUGCUGCCUCAGAGUCUGUUUUCUUCAAGUCUUCUUCUGUUCUCUGUCUUGCUUAAAGAAACCCUCCAUGUGUGUGAGCUGAUGUGAACUGAGCAGCAUGGAUCAGUGUGACGACAGAGAGGACAGAGUCCCUCCCUCUAAAACCACUCUGUGUGGAGAACAUGAGGACCAGAGCAAAGUUCAGAGGAAACGAUCAAAACCAGAACCUGGACCUGAACCUGAACCUGAACCCAGCUAUGUCUCCUUUGCGAGAAAAAGGUCAAAGGGUGACAUUAAUUUUAAAUCAGCCCAACAUUCAGCU